AUUGAACGCUGGCGGCAGGCCUAACACAUGCAAGUCGAGCGAGCGGCGGACGGGUGAGUAAUGUCUGGGAAUCUGCCUGAUGGCGGGGGAUCACUACUGGAAACGGUAGCUAAUCCCGCAUACCAUCAGAUGCACCCAGAUGGGAUUAGCUAGUAGGUGGGGUAACGGCUUACCUAGGCGACGAUCCCUAGCUGGUCUGAGAGGAUGACCAGCCACACUGGGACUGAGACACGGUCCAGACUCCUACGGGAGGCAGCAGUGGGGAAUAGUGCACAAUGGGCGCAAGCCUGAUGCAGCCAUGCCGCGUGUAUGAAGAAGGCCUUCGGGUUGUAAAGUACGUUCAGCGGGGAGGCGUUACCGACAGAAGAAGCACCGGCUAACUCCGUGCCAGCAGCCGCGGUAAUUC
rnacentral:rRNA from 1 species